UACGUAGGGUGCGAGCGUUAAUCGGAAUACUGGGCGUAAAGCGUGCGCAGGCGGUUGUGCAAGACCGAUGUGAAAUCCCCGGGCUUAACCUGGGAACUGCAUUGGUGACUGGCAGGCUUUGAGUGUGGCAGAGGGAGGUAGAAUUCCACGUGUAGCAGUGAAAUGCGUAGAGAUGUGGAGGAAUACCGAUGGCGAAGGCCAGCCUCCUGGGCCAACACUGACGCUCAUGCACGAAAGCGUGGGGAGCGAACAG
rnacentral:rRNA from 1 species